GACGAGGUGGCCGAGAGGUUAAGGCGAUGGACUGCUAAUCCAUUGUACUGUGCAUGCGUGGGUUGGAAUCCAACCUUUGUCG